UUAGUGGAAGCGUCUGGAAAGGCGCGCGAUACAGGGUGACAGCCCCGUACACAAAAAUGCACAUGCUGUGAGCUCGAUGAGUAGGGCGGGACACGUGGUAUCCUGUCUGAAUAUGGGGGGACCAUCCUCCAAGGCUAAAUACUCCUGACUGACCGAUAGUGAACCAGUACCGUGAGGGAAAGGCGAAAAGAACCCCGGCGAGGGGAGUGAAAAAGAACCUGAAACCGUGUACGUACAAGCAGUGGGAGCACGCUUAGGCGUGUGACUGCGUACCUUUUGUAUAAUGGGUCAGCGACUUAUAUUCUGUAGCAAGGUUAACCGAAUAGGGGAGCCGAAGGGAAACCGAGUCUUAACUGGGCGUUAAGUUGCAGGGUAUAGACCCGAAACCCGGUGAUCUAGCCAUGGGCAGGUUGAAGGUUGGGUAACACUAACUGGAGGACCGAACCGACUAAUGUUGAAAAAUUAGCGGAUGACUUGUGGCUGGGGGUGAAAGGCCAAUCAAACCGGGAGAUAGCUGGUUCUCCCCGAAAGCUAUUUAGGUAGCGCCUCGUGAAUUCAUCUCCGGGGGUAGAGCACUGUUUCGGCAAGGGGGUCAUCCCGACUUACCAACCCGAUGCAAACUGCGAAUACCGGAGAAUGUUAUCACGGGAGACACACGGCGGGUGCUAACGUCCGUCGUGAAGAGGGAAACAACCCAGACCGCCAGCUAAGGUCCCAAAGUCAUGGUUAAGUGGGAAACGAUGUGGGAAGGCCCAGACAGCCAGGAUGUUGGCUUAGAAGCAGCCAUCAUUUAAAGAAAGCGUAAUAGCUCACUGGUCGAGUCGGCCUGCGCGGAAGAUGUAACGGGGCUAAACCAUGCACCGAAGCUGCGGCAGCGACGCUGAUGCGUUGUUGGGUAGGGGAGCGUUCUGUAAGCCUGUGAAGGUGUGCUGUGAGGCAUGCUGGAGGUAUCAGAAGUGCGAAUGCUGACAUAAGUAACGAUAAAGCGGGUGAAAAGCCCGCUCGCCGGAAGACCAAGGGUUCCUGUCCAACGUUAAUCGGGGCAGGGUGAGUCGACCCCUAAGGCGAGGCCGAAAGGCGUAGUCGAUGGGAAACAGGUUAAUAUUCCUGUACUUGGUGUUACUGCGAAGGGGGGACGGAGAAGGCUAUGUUGGCCGGGCGACGGUUGUCCCGGUUUAAGCGUGUAGGCUGGUUUUCCAGGCAAAUCCGGAAAAUCAAGGCUGAGGCGUGAUGACGAGGCACUACGGUGCUGAAGCAACAAAUGCCCUGCUUCCAGGAAAAGCCUCUAAGCAUCAGGUAACAUCAAAUCGUACCCCAAACCGACACAGGUGGUCAGGUAGAGAAUACCAAGGCGCUUGAGAGAACUCGGGUGAAGGAACUAGGCAAAAUGGUGCCGUAACUUCGGGAGAAGGCACGCUGAUAUGUAGGUGAAGCGACUUGCUCGUGGAGCUGAAAUCAGUCGAAGAUACCAGCUGGCUGCAACUGUUUAUUAAAAACACAGCACUGUGCAAACACGAAAGUGGACGUAUACGGUGUGACGCCUGCCCGGUGCCGGAAGGUUAAUUGAUGGGGUCAGCGCAAGCGAAGCUCUUGAUCGAAGCCCCGGUAAACGGCGGCCGUAACUAUAACGGUCCUAAGGUAGCGAAAUUCCUUGUCGGGUAAGUUCCGACCUGCACGAAUGGCGUAAUGAUGGCCAGGCUGUCUCCACCCGAGACUCAGUGAAAUUGAACUCGCUGUGAAGAUGCAGUGUACCCGCGGCAAGACGGAAAGACCCCGUGAACCUUUACUAUAGCUUGACACUGAACAUUGAGCCUUGAUGUGUAGGAUAGGUGGGAGGCUUUGAAGUGUGG
rnacentral:rRNA from 1 species